rnacentral:lncRNA from 1 species
CUGUCCUUCAUUCUUUUGGUCUGUCUUACAAAACAGAAAAUAGCUGGGGACAAAAACCGUCUCACCCUCAGUUCUGUAGCUCCAGGCCACAGAUCUCUCCUCUCCGCGUGUCAAAGGAAGGACGUCCUCUAGUGUAUUCUGCAUCCACGCUGGCGCAGUUUGGGCAUCUACAGCGACAUUACAGCUGAAUGGAGUGAGCUGUAUAGAAAGAGACUCUAGGUGAGGAGCUGUCCUCGCUUCACCCUUUUGACACGGGACCUCUCUGUGGCCCUAGGAUCCAGGAGCCUUUCAUGCAGAAGCUGUUACUAUCUACUGAGUAAACAACCCAGCUGUUUUCCAGCCCGUAAGAAUACUCACCUGGAGAAUUUCAAGGAGCCAAAUGACCACCUGCUGUCACUUCCCAUUUGCUGUUAGACUGUCUCUAAUCUCUUAAAGGUGAGGGCUCAACCUGUCCCUUUGUACCUUUUCUUGUUUAAA